GGAAAGAUGCCUGAGUGGUUUAAAGGAACGGUCUUGAAAACCGUCAGGUUUAAAAGCCUCGGGGGUUCGAAUCCCUCUCUUUCC
rnacentral:tRNA from 1 species